rnacentral:rRNA from 1 species
GACGAACGCUGGCGGCGUGCUUAACACAUGCAAGUCGAACGAAGUGGCGAACGGGUGAGUAACGCGUAAUCAACCUGCCCUUCAGAGGGGGACAACAGUUGUAAACGACUGCUAAUACCGCAUACUGAAGGAGGGGAUUGCGUCUGAUUAGCUAGUUGGAGGGGUAACGGCCGACCAAGGCGAGGAUCAGUAGCCGGGUGGAGAGGAAGAACGGGCAAAUUGGGACUGAGCAACGGCCCAGACUCCGACGGGAGGCAGCAGUGGGGAAUCUUCCGCAAUGGACGGAAGUCUGACGGAGCAACGCCGCGUGAUUGAUGACGGCCUUCGGGUUGUAAAGCUCUGUUAAUCGGGACGCGGUACCGGAAUAGAAAGCCACGGCUAACUACGUGCCAGCAGCCGCGGUAAUUC